AUUGAACGCUGGCGGCAUGCCUAACACAUGCAAGUCGAACGGCAGCACGGUUAAGUACUUGUACUUAAUGGGUGGCGAGUGGCGAACGGGUGAGUAAUGCGCAGGAAUAUGCCUUAAAGAGGGGGAUAACUUGGGGAAACUCAAGCUAAUACCGCAUAAGCUCUGAGGAGUAAAGCUGGGGACCUUCGGGCUUGGCGCUUUAAGAAUAGCCUGCGUCCGAUUAGCUAGUUGGUAGGGUAAGGGCCUACCAAGGCGACGAUCGGUAGCUGGUCCGAGAGGAUGAACAGCCACACUGGGACUGAGACACGGCCCAGACUCCUACGGGAGGCAGCAGUGGGGAAUAUUGGACAAUGGGGGCAACCCUGAUCCAGCAAUGCCGCGUGUGUGAAGAAGGCCUGAGGGUUGUAAAGCACUUUCAGUGGGGAGGAGGAUUGAUUGGUUAAGAGCUGAUUAAUUGGACGUUACCUACAGAAGAAGCACCGGCUAACUCCGUGCCAGCCGGCGCCGUAA
rnacentral:rRNA from 1 species